UGCCAAAAGACUAAUUUCCUUAGCAUUAACCAGCAGCCUCAGCUCCAAAUCUAAAUGCAAGAAGCGGAGGAUUCCUCCUCUGCCCUCAGGUUACAGGGCACCUGCUUCAGCCACACUGCAGACGAGAAGCAAGUCAGCCAGCUGCAGUGAGACUGAACUGUGGCCUGGCUGACUUUCACACCCAACACCAAUACAGUCACAUGACCUGCAGGUUGACUUUCACACCCAACACCAAUACAGUCACAUGACCUUCAGGCUGAUUUUCACACCCAACACCAAUACAGUCACAUGACCCGCAGGCUGAUUUUCACACCCAACACCAAUACAGUCACAUGACCCAAGAGAGCAUCAGACCUAUCAGCAGGGCUCAGUUUAAUCCCAUGCACGUGCUGGCUUUGAUGAUCAACAAUACCGCCAGCACCCGGCGAAGAGGAACAUUUAAAACAAUAAACCUCAAUUGGAGUCCUUGAGGAAAAGCAAACAUUCAGUCUUGUGGAUUAAAAACAAUUUUAUGGGUUGGACACACGAGAUUGUGGGCUUUCGACAAAACCCGUCAUAGGUGAAAGCAGUCAGCCAUGAAUUACUACUGAAAGCGUGCAUAAUUAAAGCAGCAUUCAACCCCACGCGCAGGCAAAACCAUCUUGAUUUUAAAAUCAAUAUGAAAAAUACAGGCAAAGACCUAGUGAGGGGAAAAGAACAGCACUGCAAUGCACCAUAACAGAGCACUUCAGACUAACAGGAAAAACACUGAAAAUGUUCAUCUCCAAAACAAGCCAACAGUUUCAUUGGAUCCCUCUGAAAGAACUUGAGUAUUAAUGUUCAGGAGAAAACACCAGGAGUAGGUAUUCUAUGAAAGACUGCACAGCCAACUGCAGAACAGACAGGUGUUUUAAAAGUGAAUCUCAAAUGCACUGCUACAUCAGUCUGAAUCAGUCAGGGGCUGGAGACAACCCACAUUAAGAGAGGGGGCUGGAGACGGCCUAACUCUAACACACGCUGGGCUCAAGGGGCCUAAUGUGCCACAUUAAUGUCAUUUUUUAAAGACACGGCGGGACAGUUAGCGGCUGACCACAGACAGCAGCUCCUGCUCUAGCUGCACCUGGAGCAGGGGAGCCACAACCUCACUGGACUUGCAUACCUCUUACGCUGCUACCUGAUCACACAGAGAACAGGAGCCCAAUGCUGAUCAUACACAGAACUGGAGCCUAACGCUGAUCACACAGAACUGGAGCCCAACGCUGAUCAUACAGAGAACUGGAGCCCAACGCUGAUCAUACAGAGAACUGGAGCCUAACGCUGAUCACACAGAACUGGAGCCCAACGCUGAUCACACAGAACUGGAGCCCAACGCUGAUCAUACAGAGAACUGGAGCCCAACGCUGAUCAUACAGAGAACUAGAGCCUAACACUGAUCACACAGAACUGGAGCCCAACGCUGAUCAUACAGAGAACUGGAG